CAAAGGAAGCGAUUCCGGCGGGGGAUGGGCAUGCGGCGCAUUAGCUAGUCGGCGGGGUAACGGCCCACCGAGGCGACGAUGCGUAGGGGUUCUGAGAGGAAGGUCCCCCACACUGGUACUGAGACACGGACCAGACUCCUACGGGAGGCAGCAGUGAGGAAUAUUGGUCAAUGGGCGGGAGCCUGAACCAGCCAAGUCGCGUGAGGGAAGACGGUCCUAUGGAUUGUAAACCUCUUUUGCCGGGGAGCAACGGGGUCCUUGCGAGGGCCUAAUGAGAGUACCCGGAGAAAAAGCAUCGGCUAACUCCGUGCCAGCAGCCGCGGUAAUACGGAGGAUGCGAGCGUUAUCCGGAUUUAUUGGGUUUAAAGGGUGCGUAGGCGGGCUGUUAAGUCAGCGGUCAAAUGUCGGGGCUCAACCCCGGCCUGCCGUUGAAACUGGCGGCCUCGAGUGGGCGAGAAGUAUGCGGAAUGCGUGGUGUAGCGGUGAAAUGCAUAGAUAUCACGCAGAACUCCGAUUGCGAAGGCAGCAUACCGGCGCCCUACUGACGCUGAGGCACGAAAGCGUGGGUAUCGAACAGGAUUAGAUACCCUGGUAGUCCACGCAGUAAACGAUGAAGGCUAGCUGUCCGGUUCUACGGGACUGG
rnacentral:rRNA from 1 species